rnacentral:rRNA from 1 species
GAUGAACGCUGGCGGCGUGCUUAACACAUGCAAGUCGAACGGUGAAGGCGGAGCUUGCUCUGCUGGAUCAGUGGCGAACGGGUGAGUAACACGUGAGCAAUCUGCCCCUGACUCUGGGAUAAGCGCUGGAAACGGCGUCUAAUACUGGAUACGAGCUGCGAAGGCAUCUUCAGCAGCUGGAAAGAACUUCGGUCAGGGAUGAGCUCGCGGCCUAUCAGCUUGUUGGUGAGGUAACGGCUCACCAAGGCGUCGACGGGUAGCCGGCCUGAGAGGGUGACCGGCAACACUGGGACUGAGACACGGCCCAGACUCCUACGGGAGGCAGCAGUGGGGAAUAUUGCACAAUGGGCGAAAGCCUGAUGAAGCAACGCCGCGUGAGGGACGACGGCCUUCGGGUUGUAAACCUCUUUUAGCAGGGAAGAAGCGAAAGUGACGGUACCUGCAGAAAAAGCGCCGGCUAACUACGUG